rnacentral:rRNA from 1 species
UACGUAGGCAGCAAGCGUUGUUCGGAGUUACUGGGCGUAAAGGGUGUGUAGGCGGUCUUCUAAGUUUGGUGUGAAAUCUCCCGGCUCAACUGGGGAGGGUCAUUCGAUACUGAUCGACUUGAAGGCAGGAGAGGGAAGUGGAAUUCCCGGUGUAGUGGUGAAAUGCGUAGAUAUCGGGAGGAACACCAGUGGCGAAGGCGACUUCCUGGCCUGUUCUUGACGCUGAGGCGCGAAAGCUAGGGGAGCAAACGGGGAUUAAGAU